UCUGCACAUGCACACUGCAAGUGCAGACAUGAGUCAGGCGCUUCUAUGUGCGCUGAUGGCUGCUUGGAGUCUUGGAAUCAGCAGCCAGACGGUGCACCAGCUGGAACGGGACGCCCACACCGUGGAGGGUGCAGCAGUGAUGCUGGACUGCACCUACGACGGAGCGGGGGACUUAGACUACAUCUUAUGGUACAAACAAGAAGCCAACUCAUCGCCCGAGUUCAUCCUGAGCCGCUUUAAGAUUGGUCACGGCAAGAAGGCGGAAAAGUACAGUGAUAGGUUUUGCUCCACCAUGAACGCCAGCGCUCGGCAAGCUCCUCUGUAUAUUGAGCGUGUGAAGCCCAGCGACUCGGGAGCCUUCUACUGCGCAUUGCAGAUCACGCUGACACAACCACUGGCGUGCCUGCACAAAAACAUGUGCACCCGCCUCAUCUCAUAAGUGACAUUGGGGGCGUGGCCUCACCGGAGUCUAAGAGAAACAAAGCUCAAUUCCGCCUCCUGCCUAUUUGUAAGUCGCGGUUUUGUGAGCAUUGAGUAAAUUUGCUGCUUUGAAUUACCGUAAUCAAAUGAAUGCUUUCCAUAGAG